GUGGCCGACCUACCCAAAGAGCUAGGCGGUCUCGACAAAAGCGGCAACAAGGCUGUUCUUGUUGUGCAUUUUGUCAAGGCACUGGCUGUAGAGGGGAAAUCGAGUUGAAGGAGAGCGAUAUCAGGCGUUAGGAAGUCCGAAAGGUGGAAAAACUACGCCGAGAACGAGAAGCAAAAAUCAGAAAGACGCGGGCGGAGACAGUGGAAAGACAGAGAAGGGAUUACCCGGCUAAUUUGAAGAAUGUGGUGCUGCUAGUGC